rnacentral:tRNA from 1 species
GGGGAUGUAGCUCAAACGGUAGAGCACUCGCUUUGCAUGCGAGAGGUAUGGGAUUUUAUACCCGGCAUCUCCA